rnacentral:rRNA from 1 species
AGCAGCCGCGGUAAUUCCAGCUCCAAUAGCGUAUAUUAAAGUUGUUGCAGUUAAAAAGCUCGUAGUUGAACUUCGGGGUUUACCCAUUGGGCAGGCUUAAUUGUCUGUACUGGUGAGCUGAAUCUCUACCUUCUGAGGAACUUUCAUGCCAUUUAUUUGGUGUGAUGGGAAAUCAGGACUGUUACUUUGAAAAAAUUGAGUGUUUAAAGCAGGCUAACGUCUGAAUACAUUAGCAUGGAAUAAUGAAAUAGGACGGACUGAUUCUAUUUCGUUGGUUUCUAGGAUCACCGUAAUGAUUAAUAGGGAUAGUUGGGGGCAUUAGUAUUCAAUUGUCAGAGGUGAAAUUCUUGGAUUUAUUGAAGACUAACUACUGCGAAAGCAUUUGCCAAGGAUGUUUUCAUUAAUCAAGAACGAAAGUUAGGGGAUCGAAGACGAUCAGAUACCGUCGUA